rnacentral:lncRNA from 1 species
CGGGGAACUACGAUUCCCAGAAUCCUCUGGGCUGUGACCCGGCUGCUCCCAAAGGCAGUUUCCCAGCGACCUCCGCGGCUCAGCGGGUUUCUCGGGAGCAUUGGCCGCCUUUGAUCUCCGGGUUGCGGGGGCACGUGGGGGCGGCUCUGGCGAACCCGCGGGAGGGCCCCCGCCCAGACGCCCCAGGUCUUGGCUUCAGUGGAGCAGCCGAGAUGAAGGCGGUGGAAGAAGCUUGAAUCCAUCUAGAAGGAGACAGCCUUGAUUUCAGAUCUCCUGUCAAGAGUUUCCCCAGAGAAUCACAAGAAGUGAUACACCUUGGUGCUGAAGUUGUUCCCACCCUUCUUACCUGGGGAAGAUCAGGGAAGUCAUUGGACCAGUGAGGAGAGUGAACCUGGAGGAUCAGCCUCACCUGCUUGGGGAGAGAGGUGAGAAGUUAACUGAGGUAUUUGGGGAGGGGGGAGGAUAGCAUCCUAUCAGUGACAAAGUGCUUUACAUACCUUAUUUGAUUCUCCUAACCACACUGUGUAUAGGUAUUUUCCCCAUUUUUUAUAUGUGGAAAUUGAAGCCCAGAAAGUUUCAGGGAGGUCAUCAAAGCUACUUAAGUAUAGGAAGCUGGUAAUCAAAUCUCUAUUUUACUUGACUCUAGGAAGGCUCUUAAGUCAUGCUGCAUCUCUACUUUAGGGGAAGGGCCUCUGAGUAGGUAAUAAUAAGGAAAGGAGUCUUCCCUGUCAUUAGGAUAUCAAUAGAUUUAACAAAUGAGUGAGAGUGUCACUUUGGGCUUCUUAUUUAUCACAUCCUUGAUCCCAGUGCUCCCUAUGCUAUAAGAUAUCCUUUAGAGUAGAGAAGUUCUUUUUUUUUUUUUUUUUUUUUUUUUAGGCAAUUGGGGUUAAGUGAGUUGCCCAGGGUCACACAGCUGAGUAGAGAGGUUCUUAACCUGGUGAACUUGUUUUCAAAAGUAUUUUGGUAAGUAUAUUUCAACAUAAUUGAUUUCCUUUUGUAUUGCUAUUUUGUUUUAUGCAUUUAAAAACAUUAUUCUGAGAAGGAGAUCCAAAGGGGCAUUUUACAUAAAGAAAAGUUAAGAAUUCCUGCUGUAGAGAUCAGAGAUGACCUUUUCCCAUUGGUUGACAGCCCAAUUACCCCAUCCCUUUUCCAUGUCUUUCUCCUUAAAGGCCUCUGACAUUCUUGCCCUGAAAUAUCUGGUGUGUGAACUUAUCUUUUAACUGCUCAAAGUACUUU